rnacentral:rRNA from 1 species
UUCGUGCCGUUCCGACCUCGUUUGAUACGGUUAUGGUUAACCACACGGCCCCUCGGGCCCGACCCGAGCCCAGUCAACGUUUUGACCCGAUCAAAUCGGCCCGUGACCCGAAACGACCCUACUUGGGCCCUACAACAGCCACGUAAAGUUUCGGGAUGAUCCGACGUUCUUUCAUGGGGUUACGGACAAUCCACGCCAAACAAGCGUCACGGGCCGACCGAGCCGGGCCAACGGGCCCUCGGGACCCGAAAACUGAAUUUUUUUUCAUCCAAACCCAUUAAAACACGUUACCGAGGUCUCACGCAAAAUUUCAUGCCAAUCCGACGUCGUUUGAUGGGGUUUUGAAAAAUUAUGAUUCCUCAAAAAUUUAAUGUCUGUUCCUGUCACUUAGCUUUUUGUGCAAAAUGUAUAUAUAGGGGAGGGGUGGGUGUUGAGCAGCCCAUGCCCGGGCAAGGCAUGCCAGCGCCCAAGCCAAAGGAGGCUGGUGGCGUGCGUAUAACAGCUCAAAUGCCCCAACGAUGACCGAGAACAAGCGCCCAUCUCCCCUCCUUCCCCCCCACCAAGCGCCCCUCCCCCCCCAUGUUGCCUGCCCACUCGCACAGCUACUCGUGAUUUCAUGCCCAGCGACUAGAGAAUGUGCCUCGACGACCAGCAAACCUCGAAAAUUAUGAUUCCUCGUAAAAUUAAUGUCUGUUCCUGUCACUUUACUUUUUGUGCAAAAUGUAUAUAUAGGGGAGACCAGGGGCUUGAGCAACCCCUGUGCCCAAGCAAGGGUCAGAUGGAAGCACACGAGACGCGAGGUUUAAAGCCUAUACAAGCAAGGCGUCUGUCUCCCCAAGCCCCAUUGCCUAUAAAACAAGCCCGAUGCCUUGUAAAUGCCCCACACGAUGCCUAUAAACGACAACGAUGUUUGCUAGUUAAUCGAUCGACGCCCCACACCUUGCAGCAUGUUGCCUAGUAAACAAGCCAUGCUGCCUUGGAAGCGCCCCACAUCAUGGCAUGUUGCCUAGCACGCUGCCCUUGUUUCCCGCACGGCGACCUGAAAGCGUGGCCUGACGACGUGCUUGCCUUCGAAAAUUAUGAUUCCUCAAAAAAUUAAUGUCUGUUCCUGUCACUUUACUUUUUGU